CAAAGGCCCCAAAGGAAGCCACGGCUAACUCUGUGCCAGCAGCCGCGGUAAUACAGAGGUGGCAAGCGUUGUUCGGUAUUAUUGGGCGUAAAGAGCACGUAGGUGGUUUUGUAAGUCAGAUGUGAAAGCCUUCUGUUCAAAGGAAGAACGGCAUCUGAAACUGCGAAUCUUGAGUGUAGGAGGGGAGAGUGGAACUUCAGGUGGAGCGGUGAAAUGCGUAGAUAUCAGAAGGAACGUCGGCGGCGAAAGCGACUCUCUGGCCUAUUACUGACACUGAGUGUGCGAAAGUUAGGGGAGCAAACGGGAUUAGAUACCCCGGUAGUCCUAACUGUAAA
rnacentral:rRNA from 1 species